rnacentral:tRNA from 1 species
UCCGAUAUGGUGUAACGGCUAACAUCGCCGCCUUUCAUAACUAAAUGAGAGUUCUGGUCCGCGGCAGCUCGGGGUUCGAUUCCCCGUAUCGGAG